rnacentral:sRNA from 1 species
GGCGUCGCAGCUCAUCGAGGACGAAGAUGAUCGCCGCGCAGCUCAUGUUGCCGUACUCGCUCAGCACCCGCCGGCUCGCCGCCAGCUUCCCGGGCUCCAGCCGGAGAGCCGCCUCGUAGGCGUCCAAGAUCGCGCGCCCGCCCGGGUGCAUCGCCCAGAAGAGGUGGUUCCACCCGCCGGCGCCGGCGCCGAGGCCGAGCGGCGUCAGCGCGUCGAGCAGGCACCGCUCGACGCCGCCGCGCACCAGCGCCGCCACCUCGCCGGAGAUCCUGCAGUCGAGGCCGCGCUCGCCCAGCAGCAGGGAGACUCCCUCCUCGGUCCCCGGAAUGGUCGCCUGCGACGCCGACACCACGUGGAAGAUCGGGUGUUCGACGGGGGUCGUCGGGUCCGCGCCCACGACGGCGGCGCCGGCGCCGUCGCCGAACAGUGCCAUGGCGACGAGCGCGUCGAGGCGCGCCUCGUAGGGGGCCGCGAACAGCGGGAGCGUCACCUCCGCGCACGCCACGAGCACGCGCGCGCCGCGGUUGUUCUCGGCGAUGUCCUUGGCGAGGCGGAGCGCGGUGCAGCCGGCGUUGCAGCCGUGCAUGUAGAGGACGGCGCGCUGCACGGUGGCGCGGAGGCCGAGGAGCGCCGCGAGCCGCGCGUCGGCGCCGGGCGCGUGGGCGCCGGCGUUGGUGGAGACGACGAGGUGGGUGACGUCCGCGGCGGGGCGGCCCCACUCGGCGAUCGCCCUCGCCGCGGCGGCCAUGGCCAGCUCCGGCACGGCGUCCUUGGCGAUGCCGAGGCGCGCGUCGAGGGAAGGAAGAGCGCGGUUGAUGAACUCAGGGUGGCCGGCGAUCGUCUCCUCGGAGUGGUAGAAAUGGCGUUUCUUGAUGGCUGAUUUGUCACCUGGAAA